CUCGAGAGCAACAACUAGGCUUGCUUUGGGGGCCAUUCGGCUCAAUUAGCUUUUUCUAGCCUUGAGUCGUUUCCCCAGCUGAUGCUUUAAUUUCAUAGGAGUUGGUGUGACUCAUAUAAAAUAGAAUCACUGGGCCCAGGAAGCCCUGCUCUUGGGAACUCAACUCCAAGAAGCACUCUCCAGCCCGGCUCCUCCACGCUGACCAGUGCUUCCCUCCUCAUUCAUGCACAGCGUCGAGUAGAGGAAGUGCAGAAGAGCCUUGGAGUCUGACAAAUUGGCAGCUGAACAUUUACUCUGCCUCUCUACCUCUGACUUUGGGCAAGUUAUUAAUCUUGCUGAGUCUGGAUCCUCACUGGAGAAAAGUGAGAAUAAGGAACGUUAUAUUGAUGAAAUGAGAUAACUUAUGUACGCAGCAUUAGCCUAAGCAAUUAUCACAUUUUUGAAAUUUCACUUAUUCAUACGCUAGUGACAUCAGUGGGAAUCUUCAGCGUCUACUAAGGCAAUUCGGGAGACACAGGAUGCGCUAGCGUCAGCCUGGCAAGGGGCACACGCAGGAGCACAGACGGCCCUGAGCAGGCAGUGUGGAAGGCCACGUUGCAAGUGGAAUGAGACACCGACCCAGACUCCACGACAGCCAGCAAGGGAGCAUUUUAUCCUGGGGGGAAGAAAUUCUCCUGGAGACAAAUUCAAGCUGGCCCUGGAAGGGUUCCAGGACAGUCUGCAGGUUCUUCACAGACGGAGGCUUCCUUGACGUCUCCUUGACUUUCCUCUUCCUGCUUGAGACGACUCUGGCCUCACCAGUUCUUCAUGCGCACCGUGAGUUCUGGGCGCUGUGAGGAACCUCACAGUUCAGGAAGUCAAUGCGAUCACUCAGUCUGGUGGGGAGAAAAGCGCAGUGUCGUCGUUUUCCCUCUGCCUGAGCCGGUCACCUCUCUCAUCCCCGCGCCUGCCCAGGAGGGGCUUGGCCAGCGUGGACCUGACCGCCCCCGGAGCCUGAUCAAGUGAGCUCAGCAGCACGGGGCAAGCAGGGCUCAGAGGUGCCAGGGCACGGGCAGGCCAGGGUGCACGGAGCUUUUGAAACGAUCAGCACGUUUUUAAAGCGACGUCCCUGUGAGCACCUUUUUAAAUGGCCUGCCCUGGAAACUACUCUCUUUAUUCCUUUCACCAUUUGGAUUCUUUUCAGAGUAUAGCCGGGGCCCAAUAACCGGAACCUUUUGUGUUACUUUAAUUUCCAGAGGGGUUUCGACAGAUCUGUGCAAAGAAAUCGAAUGCCCCCUCUCGUUUACUUUUGGGGGAAGAACAAUUAUUUUGACACCUCCCUAAAGGAAGAACAGGAAAGGAGACAGGCAGCCCCACCUCAGGGCUUGAGGCCACCUCGUUUCCACCUCAGAACCCCAGACGACUGACCACUCUCAGAACGGAGUCUUCCCCUUUCUCCAGACAUCUAGAAGCACGCGCGACCGCACCUGAGCAAAGCCAGCACUGCCUCCUGGGGGCUUGUGCCCCGCUCACGGGCUUGGCCUUGCUCGCCCACACCACACCACGCUUUUAGGCCC
ensembl:lincRNA